rnacentral:rRNA from 1 species
GAUGAACGCUGGCGGCAUGCCUAAUACAUGCAAGUCGAACGAAGUGAAGAUAGCUUGCUAUUGGAUCUUAGUGGCGAACGGGUGAGUAACACGUAGGUAACCUGCCCAUAUGACUGGGAUAACUAUUGGAAACGAUAGCUAAUACCGGAUAGGUGAAGCGAAGGCAUCUUCGCUUCAUUAAAGUCGGGAUACGACACAUAUGGAUGGACCUGCGGCGCAUUAGCUAGUUGGUGAGGUAACGGCUCACCAAGGCGAUGAUGCGUAGCCGACCUGAGAGGGUGAACGGCCACACUGGGACUGAGACACGGCCCAGACUCCUACGGGAGGCAGCAGUAGGGAAUUUUCGGCAAUGGGGGAAACCCUGACCGAGCAAUGCCGCGUGAGUGAUGAAGGCCUUCGGUUGUAACCGCUUUCUAGUAGGAAGAAGCGAAGUGACGGUACCUACAGAAGAA